GACGAACGCUGGCGGCGUGCCUAAUACAUGCAAGUCGUGCGGACCUUGUUGAAAGCUUGCUUUUAAAAGGUUAGCGGCGGACGGGUGAGUAACACGUGGGCAACCUGCCUGUAAGACUGGGAUAACGCCGGGAAACCGGGGCUAAUACCAGAUCGUUUUUUCCUCCGCAUGGAGGAAAAAGGAAAGGCGGCUUCGGCUGCCACUUACAGAUGGGCCCGCGGCGCAUUAGCUAGUUGGCGGGGUAAUGGCCCACCAAGGCAACGAUGCGUAGCCGACCUGAGGGGGUGAUCGGCCACAUUGGGACGGGGACACGGCCCAAACUCCUACGGGGGGCAGCAGGAGGGAAUCUUCCGCAAUGGACGAAAGUCUGACGGAGCAACGCCGCGGGGGGGAAGAAGGCCUUCGGGUCGUAAAACUCUGUUGCCGGGGAAGAAAAAGGGCCGUUCGAACAGGGCGGGGCCUUGACGGUCCCCGGCCAAAAAGCCACGGCUAAUUACGU
rnacentral:rRNA from 1 species